UCUAAUAUGGCAGAUAAGUGCAAUGAAUUUAAGCUUCAUAUAUAAAGAAAGACAUUCUUUUAUUAGAA
rnacentral:tRNA from 1 species